rnacentral:lncRNA from 1 species
ACACCCUCCCUGGGCGAAAAAAACCACCACCGCCACCUGGAUCCUCGCGGCGCUCCGUGCCCCCGUUUUGGGUGAAAACCACCCGAAAUACCUAUUUUCUGCCUUUCCUACACGUUUUUGGGAGGUUUUGCUGCCGGGCUCUGCCUUUUUCGGGUCGGGCGUCCUCGCGCUGCCUCGUUUUUGGGGCAUUUUCCUGCGGAUCUCACUGAGCUGCGCGGAGAAGCCGCCCGCCGCGCCCCCGACCGCCGCCACCUCCAAAACGGCCGGAAAUCGCCCCAAAAUCCGUGCCCCUCCCUCCGCCGCCUUUUUGGGGGUAAAAAGCGGCUUUUCUUCCAAGCUGGCACUGCCUCCUACCUCUGCAUCUGUGAAAAGGCCGGAAAACACCCCAAAAAA